rnacentral:rRNA from 1 species
AUUGAACGCUGGCGGCAUGCCUUACACAUGCAAGUCGAACGGUAACGGGCCUUCGGGUGCCGACGAGUGGCGAACGGGUGAGUAAUGUAUCGGAACGUACCUUUCAGUGGGGGAUAACGUAGCGAAAGUUACGCUAAUACCGCAUAUUCUGUGAGCAGGAAAGCAGGGGAUCGCAAGACCUUGCGCUGAUUGAGCGGCCGAUAUCAGAUUAGCUAGUUGGUGAGGUAAAAGCUCACCAAGGCGACGAUCUGUAGCGGGUCUGAGAGGAUGAUCCGCAACACUGGAACUGAGACACGGUCCAGACUCCUACGGGAGGCAGCAGUGGGGAAUUUUGGACAAUGGGGGCAACCCUGAUCCAGCCAUGCCGCGUGAGUGAAGAAGGCCUUCGGGUUGUAAAGCUCUUUCGGCCGGGAAGAAAUCGUAUCAGCUAAUACCUGGUGCGGAUGACGGUACCGUAAGAAUAAGCACCGGCUAACUACGUGCCAGCCGCCGCCGUAAUAC